GCGCUCGAGGAGGAGUCCGCGGCCGAUUAGCUAGUUGGCAGGGUAAAAGCCUACCAAGGCUAUGAUCGGUAGCCGGCCUGAGAGGGCACACGGCCACACUGGCACUGAAACACGGGCCAG
rnacentral:rRNA from 1 species